UCGGCGCUCACUAAUCCAAUCUCUAAUGGCCGCCGCGAGGGUUCUGCUCCGCCUCCUCCAGGAGCAGCCCGAUUCUCGAAGCCCAAGUUCAGCAAGUCCUUCUACGGUUGGACUCCCGAGGAGCCGCAGCUCCAGAGCACGAGAUCCACCUCGAAGAGUGCGGGAACAAUAACCACGUCGACCCCUCCCCCACCUUCCGCCGCUCCUGCCGCGAUGGCAUCUGCGGCUCCUGCGCCAUGAACAUCGACGGCGACAACGGCCUUGUCUCCUUCACCGAGAUCCCGUCCUUCUGCCGCGCAUGUACGUGAUCAAGGAUCUGGUGGUGGACACGAGUAACAUAUAUGGCCAGUAGUCCAGUCCAAGAGCGUGGAGUCGUGGUUCAAGAUAGCACGAAGGAUCGGGCGAAGCUGGACGGGAUGUGCGAGUCUAUCCUCUGCGCCUGCUGCAGCACCUCCUAUCCCAGCUAUUGGUGGAAUCCUGAAACCUAUCCCGGGCCCGCGGCCCUCCUCCAUUCCAACAGGUCUAAAGUCAUAAGCAGCAUUAGUGUGAACUCUACAUUUGCACUGGGCCAAAAUGAAGGAUCUUGUUGCAAGGAAUCCCUUCAGGCAUCCAACUCGAAAGAGGAAAGUUAACUAGCUUAUGAUUUUAGUGUAGGAUAUGUAGGUUUUGCGCUCUUAUUGUUUGCAUCUGCAGAGCCGUAGACUAGACAGUACCUUCAUGAAAAUCUUUGGUAGGAGUAUUGGUUUCUCCAUCCUAGCGGAUCAUAUGGUACCCGUGAUACAUUGCUUUAAUCGACGAUUUCAGCAUUAAAACUCAAAGAGACUAGGUUGAUUGCUUCUUUCCCAGUUCUUGAUUGUAAGAAGUCCGAUAUAUCUGCUUUUUGAGUUCCAUUCUCCACAUCUAUUGUGUAAUAUUGUUUCGAUUUCCUAUCUGCAAUCAUUUUGUAGCUUGGUUAUUGCUAUUAUGGUUUGUUAUUUUGUUGGUCCUUGUUCCAAUUAAAAGCUGAAUUUUCUGGUGGAAGAAGUGGCAUAUAGGUGACUGGGUUGGAUUGUAUUCAUUAAAUUAAUGGAGUUAACGUAGAAAUCUUGUUCCAUAAAUUGUUCUGGAUAUGAUUUGCUGUUUAAAUGUUUGUGCACCAUUGUAUUUGCUACAACGUAGAUGCAAGAACAUACUGUUCCAAGUCUGCUGUCAAUCUAACUGGAGCAAUGUUCCAACCUUGAAACACAAAGCAUGGUUUUUAAUGCAAUUGGUGUGUAUGAAUACAUCCACUUUAGAA